AGUGUAGUAUCGAUGCACUGUUAGAGCACAUAAUCAAGCAUAUGCUUUUUCUACAGAGCAUCACUUAGGACGCUGGCAAGCAAGACAAGUGCGCCGAAUCGAAGCUCCAUCACAAUGAACCAGACUUACGCGGAACCUCCAAUAAUGAACCAGGAUCGAGCUGGACUGUGGAGUGGGCAUCGAUCUCAAGGGUUACUCAAUCAGGGUCGAAAAUCUUUGUAAGAAGCCAGCUGCAUGCGGAGAUGUCGUGUGAAGAGUGCAGUCAUUUUCUUGAGAUAGCAGAAGCAAUUAGAAGCUUGGGUCUGACAAUCUUAAAGAGGUGUCACCGAAGAACAUGGUGAGAAGAUACGGAU